rnacentral:rRNA from 1 species
GACGAACGCUGGCGGCGUGCUUAACACAUGCAAGUCGAACGAGAGCGUAGAGAAAGCUUGCUUUUUCUACAAUCUAGUGGCAAACGGGUGAGUAACGCGUAAACAACCUGCCCUACGGAUGGGGACAACAGCUGGAAACGGCUGCUAAUACCGAAUACGUUCCGAAAGUCGCAUGACUAUCGGAAGAAAGGAUGGCCUCUAUUUAUAAGCUAUCGCCGGAGGAGGGGUUUGCGUCUGAUUAGCUAGUUGGAGGGGUAACGGCCCACCAAGGCGACGAUCCGUAGCCGGUCUGAGAGGAUGAACGGCCACAUUGGAACUGGGACACGGUCCAGACUCCUACGGGAGGCAGCAGGGGGGAAUCUUCCGCAAUGGGCGAAAGCCUGACGGAGCAACGCCGCGUGAGUGAAGACGGCCUUCGGGUUGUAAAGCUCUGUUAUACGGGACGAAUAAUCUUGUGGUUAAUACCCAUGAGAAGUGACGGUACCGUAAGAGAAAGCCACGGCUAACUACGUG